rnacentral:rRNA from 1 species
AACUAACAAGGAUUCCCCUAGUAACGGCGAGCGAACGGGGAAUAGCCCAGCACCGGGCCACACGAUGUUCAAGCGCGUGGGAACGCUGUGUUUGGGAGGGAUCCUUCUCGCGGCUUUCGGCUAACGUUCCAAGUCCGCUUGAACGCGGCCAUCGCCCGCCGUGGGUGACAGGCCCGUCUGAACGUUCCGAGUCACGGGUUGGUCCCUCCUU